rnacentral:rRNA from 1 species
ACGGGUGAGUAAUGCCUAGGAAUCUGCCUGGUAGUGGGGGACAACGUUUCGAAAGGAACGCUAAUACCGCAUACGUCCUACGGGAGAAAGCAGGGGACCUUCGGGCCUUGCGCUAUCAGAUGAGCCUAGGUCGGAUUAGCUAGUUGGUGAGGUAAUGGCUCACCAAGGCGACGAUCCGUAACUGGUCUGAGAGGAUGAUCAGUCACACUGGAACUGAGACACGGUCCAGACUCCUACGGGAGGCAGCAGUGGGGAAUAUUGGACAAUGGGCGAAAGCCUGAUCCAGCCAUGCCGCGUGUGUGAAGAAGGUCUUCGGAUUGUAAAGCACUUUAAGUUGGGAGGAAGGGUUGUAGAUUAAUACUCUGCAAUUUUGACGUUACCGACAGAAUAAGCACCGGCUAGCUCUGUGCCAGCAGCCGCGGUAAUACAGAGGGUGCAAGCGUUAAUCGGAAUUACUGGGCGUAAAGCGCGCGUAGGUGGUUCGUUAAGUUGGAUGUGAAAUCCCCGGGCUCAACCUGGGAACUGCAUCCAAAACUGGCGAGCUAGAGUAUGGUAGAGGGUGGUGGAAUUUCCUGUGUAGCGGUGA